UAAUAGCGUAUACUUAAGUUGUUGCAGUUAAAAAGCUCGUAGUCGGAUGUCGGGCUUGGGCAGGCUGUCGGCGUUUGUCGGACGGCAGGCUCGGGCCUUUCUGCCUGGGGACCUCGUUGCACUUGAUUGUGGGGCGAUGGGACGCAGGCCGUUUACUUUGAAAAAAUUAGAGUGUUCAAAGCAGGCCUACGCUUGAAUACAUUAGCAUGGAAUAAUAAGAUAGGAUCUUGUCUAUUUUGUUGGUUGCGGACAACGAUAAUGAUUAAUAGGGAUAGUUGGGGGUGUCCGUAUUGAGCUGUCAGAGGUGAAAUUCUUGGAUUUGCUCAAGACGAACUACUGCGAAAGCAUUCACCAAGGAUGUUUUCAUUAA
rnacentral:rRNA from 1 species